AGUGAACGCUGGCGGCGUGCUUAACACAUGCAAGUCGAACGAGAACGGAUUAUAGCUUGCUAUAAUUGUCAGCUAAGUGGCGCACGGGUGAGUAAUGUAUAGGUAAUAUGCCUCUUACUAAGGGAUAACAAAUGGAAACGUUUGCUAAUACCUUAUACUCCUUAUUAACAGAAGUUUAUAAGGGAAAGAUUUAUUGGUAAGAGAUUAGCCUGUAUUGUAUCAGUUAGUUGGUGGGGUAAUGGCUUACCAAGACUAUGACACAUAACUGGUUUGGGAGGAUGGUCAGUCACACUGGAAGUGAGACACGGUCCAGACUCCUACGGGAGGCAGCAGUGGGGAAUAUUGCACAAGGGACGAAAGUCUGAUGCAGCAACGCCGCGUGGAGGAUGACACAUUUCGGCGCGUAAACUCCUUUUAUAUGAGAAGAUAAUGACGGUAUUAUAUGAAUAAGCACCGGCUAACUCCGUGCCAGCAGCCGCCGUAA
rnacentral:rRNA from 1 species